GCACCAGUGGGGAAUAUUGGGCAAUGGAGGAAACUCUGACCCAGCGACGCCGCGUGCGGGAUGAAGGCCUUCGGGUUGUAAACCGCUUUCAGUAGGGAAGAAGCGAAAGUGACGGUACCUACAGAAGAAGCACCGGCUAACUAUGUGCCAGCAGCCGCGGUAAUACAUAGGGUGCAAGCGUUGUCCGGAAUUAUUGGGCGUAAAGAGCUCGUAGGUGGUUCGUUACGUCGGAUGUGAAAAUCUGGGGCUCAACCCCAGACCUGCAUCCGAUACGGGCGAGCUAGAGUUUGGUAGGGGAGACUGGAAUUCCUGGUGUAGCGGUGGAAUGCGCAGAUAUCAGGAGGAACACCAAUGGCGAAGGCAGGUCUCUGGGCCAAUACUGACACUGAGGAGCGAAAGCGUGGGGAGCGAACAGGAUUAGAUACCC
rnacentral:rRNA from 1 species